GUGGGGAAUCUUGCGCAAUGGGCGAAAGCCUGACGCAGCCAUGCCGCGUGAAUGAUGAAGGUCUUAGGAUUGUAAAAUUCUUUCACCGGGGACGAUAAUGACGGUACCCGGAGAAGAAGCCCCGGCUAACUUCGUGCCAGCAGCCGCGGUAAUACGAAGGGGGCUAGCGUUGCUCGGAAUUACUGGGCGUAAAGGGCGCGUAGGCGGACAGUUUAGUCAGAGGUGAAAGCCCAGGGCUCAACCUUGGAAUUGCCUUUGAUACUGGCUGUCUGGAGUACGGGAGAGGUGAGUGGAACUCCGAGUGUAGAGGUGAAAUUCGUAGAUAUUCGGAAGAACACCAGUGGCGAAGGCGACUCACUGGCCCGUUACUGACGCUGAGGCGCGAAAGCGUGGGGAGCAAACAGGAUUAGAAACCCGAGUAGUCC
rnacentral:rRNA from 1 species